AAAUUGAAGAGUUUGAUCAUGGCUCAGAUUGAACGCUGGCGGCAGGCCUAACACAUGCAAGUCGAACGGUAACAGGAAGAAGCUUGCUUCUUUGCUGACGAGUGGCGGACGGGUGAGUAAUGUCUGGGAAACUGCCUGAUGGAGGGGGAUAACUACUGGAAACGGUAGCUAAUACCGCAUAACGUCGCAAGACCAAAGAGGGGGACCUUCGGGCCUCUUGCCAUCGGAUGUGCCCAGAUGGGAUUAGCUAGUAGGUGGGGUAACGGCUCACCUAGGCGACGAUCCCUAGCUGGUCUGAGAGGAUGACCAGCCACACUGGAACUGAGACACGGUCCAGACUCCUACGGGAGGCAGCAGUGGGGAAUAUUGCACAAUGGGCGCAAGCCUGAUGCAGCCAUGCCGCGUGUAUGAAGAAGGCCUUCGGGUUGUAAAGUACUUUCAGCGGGGAGGAAGGGAGUAAAGUUAAUACCUUUACUCAUUGACGUUACCCGCAGAAGAAGCACCGGCUAACUCCGUGCCAGCAGCCGCGGUAAUACGGAGGGUGCAAGCGUUAAUCGGAAUUACUGGGCGUAA
rnacentral:rRNA from 1 species